rnacentral:rRNA from 1 species
AGGAUAAACGCUGGCGGCGUGCAUGAGACAUGCAAGUCGAACGGACGAUCAGGGCUUGCUCUGAUCGUUAGUGGCGGACGGCUGAGUAACGCGUAGGUGACCUGCCCCGAAGUGGGGAAUAACUGCCCGAAAGGGUGGCUAAUACCGCAUGUGGUGGUGUGUUCAUUCACACCAGUAAAGCCGCAAGGCGCUUCGGGAGGGGCCUGCGUCCGAUUAGCUCGUUGGUGGGUAACGGCUCACCAAGGCGACGAUCGGUAGGUGGUCUGAGAGGACGAUCACCCAGACUGGGACUGAGACACGGCCCAGACUCCUACGGGAGGCAGCAGUCGGGAAUUUUGCGCAAUGGACGAAAGUCUGACGCAGCAACGCCGCGUGAGGGAUGAAGGCCUUCGGGUUGUAAACCUCUUUUCUCAGGAAGAUAAUGACGGUACCUGAGGAAUAAGUCACGGCUAACUACGUGCCAGCAGCCGC